rnacentral:rRNA from 1 species
GCUAACGCCGGGACAGGGGGCGCGGUAAUACGGAGGGGGCAAGGGGUGGCCGGAAUUAGUGGGCGUAAAGCGCGGGCAGGCGGUUUCUUAAGGCUGAUGUGAAAGCCCACGGCUCAACCGUGGAGGGUCAUUGGAAACUGGGAAACUUGAGUGCAGAAGAGGAGAGUGGAAUUCCACGUGUAGCGGUGAAAUGCGUAGAGAUGUGGAGGAACACCAGUGGCGAAGGCGACUCUCUGGUCUGUAACUGACGCUGAGGCGCGAAAGCGUGGGUAGCGAACAGGAUUAGAUACCCGAGUAGUC